rnacentral:tRNA from 1 species
GGUUGGGUCGUAUAAUGGUAAUACGUAAAAUUGCAAAUUUUAUUAUGGUGGUUCAAUUCCGCCCUCAACCU